AACCCCUAACAAUGGGCAAGGAGAUACCUGAUUGGUGGUGCUGCUUUAUAUCACAGGGGCAAAGCAGAUGCGCAGUCCUUAGUUCAUCCUAGUUUGAAGCCUGUGUUGGCAGCCAGAGCUGUUGCAUGCCUGGGGCAUAACG